ensembl:snRNA U6 U6 spliceosomal RNA
GUGCUCGCUCCGGCAGCACAUAAAGUCGGAACAGUAAAGAGAUGAUUUGCAUGGCGCCUGCGCAAGGAUGACAUGCAAAUAAAUACAAAGUUUGAUCGCUUUU